rnacentral:rRNA from 1 species
GACAGAGGAGCCAAGCGUUGUCCGGAUUGACUGGGCGUAAAGCGCACGCAGGCGGAUGCGCGCGUGGGGUGUGAAAUCUGGCCGCUUAACGGCCAGGCGCCAUCCCAUACGGCGCGUCUGGAGUGAUGCAGAGGUCGAUGGAAUUGCCGGUGUAGUGGUGAAAUGCGUAGAGAUCGGCAGGAGCACCCAGGGGGAAACCAGUCGACUGGGCAUCUACUGACGCUGAGGUGCGAGAGCGUGGGGAGCGAACCGG